rnacentral:tmRNA from 1 species
GGGGCCGAUUAGGAUUCGACGCCGGUAGCGAAGCUCUAGGUGCAUGCCGACUUGGUAACAGAAGUCGUAAAUCCACUGUUGCAACUUUCUAUAGUUGCCAAUGACGAAAACUACGAGGGCUACGCUCUCGCUGCGUAAGCAGCGCGACUAGUCCUUCUGGUAGCUUCGGCUCCAGCGAUCACUAGGGGAUGCCUGUAAACCUGAAGUGAUUGUCAUGCAGAACAGGAUCGCCGCGUAGUACGUUGUGGACAAAGUGGCUAAAACUUACACAACUCGUCCAAAGCACCCUGCCCGUCGGGCGGCUACGGAUUAACUCAAUAGACACGGCUAAGCAUGUAGUACCGAAAGUGGAGAACUGGCGGACGGGGGUUCAAAUCCCCCCCGGCUCCACCA